rfam:Clostridium bartlettii CAG:1329 genomic scaffold, scf9
AAGUCUUUUAAAAUAGUCCAGAGAGGCUGAUAAAGAUACUUCAUAGUUAACAGUUAGUUAUUUAUGUAUACAAAGUCCUUAUACCUCUAUGGUGUAAGGGCUUUUUUUA